rnacentral:rRNA from 1 species
AGUCGAACGAUAAGCUAGACUUCGGUUUAGUGGACAGUGGCAGACGGGUGAGUAACGCGUGGGAAUCUACCUUUGAGUGGGGAAUAACAAUUAGAAAUGAUUGCUAAUACCGCAUAUACCCUCCGGGGGAAAGGCUUCGGCCGCUCUUAGAUGAGCCCGCGUACGAUUAGUUUGUUGGUGAGGUAAAGGCUCACCAAGACUACGAUCGUUAGCUGGUUUGAGAGGAUGAUCAGCCACACUGGGACUGAGACACGGCCCAGACUCCUACGGGAGGCAGCAGUGGGGAAUAUUGGACAAUGGGCGAAAGCCUGAUCCAGCCAUGCCGCGUGAGUGAAGAAGGCCUUAGGGUUGUAAAACUCUUUCGACAGGGAAGAUAAUGACGGUACCUGUAGAAGAAGC